rnacentral:rRNA from 2 species
UUAAGCGACUAAGCGUACACGGUGGAUGCCCUGGCAGUCAGAGGCGAUGAAGGACGUGCUAAUCUGCGAUAAGCGUCGGUGAGGUGAUAUGAACCGUUAUAACCGGCGAUUUCCGAAUGGGGAAACCCAGUGUGUUUCGACACACUAUCAUUAACUGAAUCCAUAGGUUAAUGAGGCGAACCGGGGGAACUGAAACAUCUAAGUACCCCGAGGAAAAGAAAUCAACCGAGAUUCCCCCAGUAGCGGCGAGCGAACGGGGAGGAGCCCAGAGCCUGAAUCAGUGUGUGUGUUAGUGGAAGCGUCUGGAAAGGCGUGCGAUACAGGGUGACAGCCUCGUACACAAAAAUGCACAUAUUGUGAGCUCGAUGAGUAGGGCGGGACACGUGGUAUCCUGUCUGAAUAUGGGGGGACCAUCCUCCAAGGCUAAAUACUCCUGACUGACCGAUAGUGAACCAGUACCGUGAGGGAAAGGCGAAAAGAACCCCGGCGAGGGGAGUGAAAAAGAACCUGAAACCGUGUACGUACAAGCAGUGGGAGCCUCUUAAUGGGGUGACUGCGUACCUUUUGUAUAAUGGGUCAGCGACUUAUAUUCUGUAGCAAGGUUAACCGAAUAGGGGAGCCGAAGGGAAACCGAGUCUUAACUGGGCGUUAAGUUGCAGGGUAUAGACCCGAAACCCGGUGAUCUAGCCAUGGGCAGGUUGAAGGUUGGGUAACACUAACUGGAGGACCGAACCGACUAAUGUUGAAAAAUUAGCGGAUGACUUGUGGCUGGGGGUGAAAGGCCAAUCAAACCGGGAGAUAGCUGGUUCUCCCCGAAAGCUAUUUAGGUAGCGCCUCGUGAAUUCAUCUCCGGGGGUAGAGCACUGUUUCGGCAAGGGGGUCAUCCCGACUUACCAACCCGAUGCAAACUGCGAAUACCGGAGAAUGUUAUCACGGGAGACACACGGCGGGUGCUAACGUCCGUCGUGAAGAGGGAAACAACCCAGACCGCCAGCUAAGGUCCCAAAGUCAUGGUUAAGUGGGAAACGAUGUGGGAAGGCCCAGACAGCCAGGAUGUUGGCUUAGAAGCAGCCAUCAUUUAAAGAAAGCGUAAUAGCUCACUGGUCGAGUCGGCCUGCGCGGAAGAUGUAACGGGGCUAAACCAUGCACCGAAGCUGCGGCAGCGACACUAUGUGUUGUUGGGUAGGGGAGCGUUCUGUAAGCCUGUGAAGGUGGCCUGUGAGGGUUGCUGGAGGUAUCAGAAGUGCGAAUGCUGACAUAAGUAACGAUAAAGCGGGUGAAAAGCCCGCUCGCCGGAAGACCAAGGGUUCCUGUCCAACGUUAAUCGGGGCAGGGUGAGUCGACCCCUAAGGCGAGGCCGAAAGGCGUAGUCGAUGGGAAACAGGUUAAUAUUCCUGUACUUGGUGUUACUGCGAAGGGGGGACGGAGAAGGCUAUGUUGGCCGGGCGACGGUUGUCCCGGUUUAAGCGUGUAGGCUGGUUUUCCAGGCAAAUCCGGAAAACCAAGGCUGAGGCGUGAUGACGAGGCACUACGGUGCUGAAGCGACAAAUGCCCUGCUUCCAGGAAAAGCCUCUAAGCAUCAGGUAACAUCAAAUCGUACCCAAAACCGACACAGGUGGUCAGGUAGAGAAUACCAAGGCGCUUGAGAGAACUCGGGUGAAGGAACUAGGCAAAAUGGUGCCGUAACUUCGGGAGAAGGCACGCUGAUAUGUAGGUGAAGCGACUCGCUCGUGGAGCUGAAAUCAGUCGAAGAUACCAGCUGGCUGCAACUGUUUAUUAAAAACACAGCACUGUGCAAACACGAAAGUGGACGUAUACGGUGUGACGCCUGCCCGGUGCCGGAAGGUUAAUUGAUGGGGUUAGCGGUAACGCGAAGCUCUUGAUCGAAGCCCCGGUAAACGGCGGCCGUAACUAUAACGGUCCUAAGGUAGCGAAAUUCCUUGUCGGGUAAGUUCCGACCUGCACGAAUGGCGUAAUGAUGGCCAGGCUGUCUCCACCCGAGACUCAGUGAAAUUGAACUCGCUGUGAAGAUGCAGUGUACCCGCGGCAAGACGGAAAGACCCCGUGAACCUUUACUAUAGCUUGACACUGAACAUUGAGCCUUGAUGUGUAGGAUAGGUGGGAGGCUUUGAAGUGUGGACGCCAGUCUGCAUGGAGCCGACCUUGAAAUACCACCCUUUAAUGUUUGAUGUUCUAACGUUGGCCCGUAAUCCGGGUUGCGGACAGUGUCUGGUGGGUAGUUUGACUGGGGCGGUCUCCUCCUAAAGAGUAACGGAGGAGCACGAAGGUUGGCUAAUCCUGGUCGGACAUCAGGAGGUUAGUGCAAUGGCAUAAGCCAGCUUGACUGCGAGCGUGACGGCGCGAGCAGGUGCGAAAGCAGGUCAUAGUGAUCCGGUGGUUCUGAAUGGAAGGGCCAUCGCUCAACGGAUAAAAGGUACUCCGGGGAUAACAGGCUGAUACCGCCCAAGAGUUCAUAUCGACGGCGGUGUUUGGCACCUCGAUGUCGGCUCAUCACAUCCUGGGGCUGAAGUAGGUCCCAAGGGUAUGGCUGUUCGCCAUUUAAAGUGGUACGCGAGCUGGGUUUAGAACGUCGUGAGACAGUUCGGUCCCUAUCUGCCGUGGGCGCUGGAGAACUGAGGGGGGCUGCUCCUAGUACGAGAGGACCGGAGUGGACGCAUCACUGGUGUUCGGGUUGUCAUGCCAAUGGCACUGCCCGGUAGCUAAAUGCGGAAGAGAUAAGUGCUGAAAGCAUCUAAGCACGAAACUUGCCCCGAGAUGAGUUCUCCCUGACUCCUUGAGAGUCCUGAAGGAACGUUGAAGACGACGACGUUGAUAGGCCGGGUGUGUAAGCGCAGCGAUGCGUUGAGCUAACCGGUACUAAUGAACCGUGAGGCUUAACCUU